AGAACGAACGCUGGCGGCAUGCCUAAUACAUGCAAGUCGAACGAACUCUUCGGAGUUAGUGGCGCACGGGUGCGUAACGCGUGGGAAUCUGCCCCUUGGUUCGGAAUAACAGUUGGAAACGACUGCUAAUACCGGAUGAUGACGAAAGUCCAAAG
rnacentral:rRNA from 1 species